GACGAACGCUGGCGGCGUGCCUAAUACAUGCAAGUAGAACGCUGAAGAGAGGAGCUUGCUCUUCUUGGAUGAGUUGCGAACGGGUGAGUAACGCGUAGGUAACCUGCCUUGUAGCGGGGGAUAACUAUUGGAAACGAUAGCUAAUACCGCAUAACAAUGGAUUACACAUGUCAUUUAUUUGAAAGGGGCAAUUGCUCCACUACAAGAUGGACCUGCGUUGUAUUAGCUAGUAGGUGAGGUAAUGGCUCACCUAGGCGACGAUACAUAGCCGACCUGAGAGGGUGAUCGGCCACACUGGGACUGAGACACGGCCCAGACUCCUACGGGAGGCAGCAGGAGGGAAUCUUCGGCAAUGGGGGCAACCCUGACCGAGCAACGCCGCGUGAGUGAAGAAGGUUUUCGGAUCGUAAAGCUCGGUUGUAAGUCAAGAACGGGUGUGAGAGUGGAAAGUUCACACUGUGACGGUAGCUUACCAGAAAGGGACGGCUAACUACGUG
rnacentral:rRNA from 1 species